UACAGAGGUCUCAAGCGUUGUUCGGAUUCAUUGGGCGUAAAGGGUGCGUAGGUGGCGCCGUAAGUCGGGUGUGAAAUUUCGGAGCUUAACUCCGAAACUGCAUUCGAUACUGCGGUGCUUGAGGACUGGAGAGGAGACUGGAAUUCAUGGUGUAGCAGUGAAAUGCGUAGAGAUCAUGAGGAAGACCAGUGGCGAAGGCGGGUCUCUGGGACGGUACUGACGCUGGAGACGCGAAAGCGUGGGGAGCGAACAGG
rnacentral:rRNA from 1 species